rnacentral:tRNA from 1 species
UCCCUGGUGGCUCAGCUGGUAAAGAAUCUGCCUGCAAUGUAGAAGACCUGGGUUUGAUCCCUGGGCUGGGAA